AGGACGAACGCUGGCGGCGUGCUUAACACAUGCAAGUCGAGCGGAAAGGCCCUUCGGGGUACUCGAGCGGCGAACGGGUGAGUAACACGUGAGUAACCUGCCCCUAGCUCUGGGAUAGCUCCGGGAAACCGGGAUUAAUACCAGAUACGACCACUUUAGACAUCUGUCGUGGUGGAAAGGAUUCCGGCUAGGGAUGGGCUCGCGGCCUAUCAGCUUGUUGGUGGGGUAACGGCCUACCAAGGCGACGACGGGUAGCCGGCCUGAGAGGGCGACGGCCACGACUGGGACUGAGACACGGCCCAGACUCCUACGGGAGGCAGCAGUGGGGAAUAUUGCGCAAUGGGCGGAAGGCCUGACGCAGCGACGCCGCGUGCGGGAUGAAGGCCUUCGGGUUGUAAACCGCUUUCACCAGGGGCGAAGCGAGAGUGACGGUACCUGGGGAACGAAGCACCGGCCAACUACGUGCCAGCAGCCGC
rnacentral:rRNA from 1 species